AUUGAACGCUGGCGGCGUGCUUAACACAUGCAAGUCGAACGUGAAAGUCCCCUCGGGGAUGAGUAAAGUGGCGCACGGGUGAGUAACGCGUGGAUUAUCUGCCUGUAUCACCGGAAUAACGGUUGGAAACGACUGCUAAUGCCGGAUAGUCUUUCACGGGUAAAGGGGGCCUCUGUUUCAAGCUCCCGGGUACAGAUGAGUCCGCGUCUGAUUAGCUUGUUGGUGGGGUAAUGGCUCACCAAGGCGACGAUCAGUAGCAGGUUUGAGAGGAUGACCUGCCACACUGGGACUGGAACACGGCCCAGACUCCUGCGGGAGGCAGCAGUGGGGAAUAUUGCGCAAUGGGCGAAAGCCUGACGCAGCGACGCCGCGUGGAGGAUGAAGGCUCUCGAGUCGUAAACUCCUGUCAAAAGGGAAGAACCGUAUGCGAAAGAAUACGUCGCAUACCUGACGGUACCUUUAGAGGAAGCACCGGCUAACUCCGUGCCGGUAAUACGGAGGGUAGCA
rnacentral:rRNA from 1 species